GACGAACGCUGGCGGCGUGCUUAACACAUGCAAGUCGAACGGAAAGGCCCUGCUUUUGUGGGGUGCUCGAGUGGCGAACGGGUGAGUAACACGUGAGUAACCUGCCCUUGACUUUGGGAUAACUUCAGGAAACUGGGGCUAAUACCGGAUAGGAGCUCCUGCUGCAUGGUGGGGGUUGGAAAGUUUCGGCGGUUGGGGAUGGACUCGCGGCUUAUCAGCUUGUUGGUGGGGUAGUGGCUUACCAAGGCUUUGACGGGUAGCCGGCCUGAGAGGGUGACCGGCCCCCUUGGGACUGGGGUACGGCCCAGGCUCCUUCGGGAGGCAGCAGUGGGGAAUAUUGCACAAUGGGCGGAAGCCUGAUGCAGCAACGCCGCGUGCGGGAUGACGGCCUUCGGGUUGUAAACCGCUUUCGCCUGUGACGAAGCGUGAGUGACGGUAAUGGGUAAAGAAGCACCGGCUAACUACGU
rnacentral:rRNA from 1 species